AGAGUUUGAUCCUGGCUCAGAACGAACGCUGGCGGCGUGGAUAAGACAUGCAAGUCGAACGCGAUUUUCUCGGUUAGCAAUAACUGAGAAAAUUGAGUGGCGAAUGGGUGCGUAACACGUGGGAAUUUAUCCGGAAGUGGGGGAUAGCUUGCCGAAAGGCAAAUUAAUACCGCAUAUGCCCGUAAGGGCAAAGUGGGGGACCGCAAGGCCUCACGCUAUCGGAGGAGCCCGCGCCCUGUCAGCUAGUUGGUGAGGUAAUGGCUCACCAAGGCUUAGACGGGUAGCUGGUCUGAGAGGACGACCAGCCACACUGGAACUGAGACACGGUCCAGACACCUACGGGUGGCAGCAGUCGAGGAUUUUUCUCGAUGGGGGCAACCCUGAAGGAGCGACGCCGCGUGGAGGAUGAAGGGCUUCGGCUCGUAAACUCCUGUCACCGACGAACAAGGCAUCCGAAUUAAUAAAUCGGAUGCUUGAUGGUAGUCGGAGAGGAAGGGGCGGCUAACUCUGUGCCAGCAGCCGCGGUGAUACAGAGGCCCCAAGCGUUGUUCGGAUUUACUGGGCGUANAGGGUGUGUAGGGGGUCGUGUAAGUUUGACGUGAAAUCCCGUUG
rnacentral:rRNA from 1 species